CUUGCCUGGCAUUUGUACCUCCAACAUGGUCCACUAUCACCUGGCAAUUUUAUACAAGAAGCUGAGGUGCCAGACCCCGAAUUAAGACUCGGUUUUGGGAAUGCAUGGGAGUGAGAAGCAGAAGGUCUUAGGUGUGAACCUCUGUUAGUCCAUAGACCCUGCUAUAGCUCCCCAACUCUGAUAUGGUUUGAGAAUGGGUAUGAGAUUGCCACCUGGAGCCAAGCCCAAGCCUGUACCAUCAGUGUUCCUCUAGAGAUUAAGAAUGUCCCACUGACCACUUCAAACCUCCCCACUUCAAACCUCCUCACUCCAGUCGUACAGGUAAACUAAUUAAGCAUCAUUAAC
rnacentral:lncRNA from 12 species